rnacentral:rRNA from 1 species
CAGUAGCGUAUAUUAAAGUUGUUGCAGUUAAAAUGCUCGUAGUUGAAGUUCGGAUGCAGCAGAGCUUGGAAACGCUGUUAUGGUGCUUCCGUUGCUUUUGCUUGUCCACAGUGCGUUGCAAGUACGUAUGUGCUUGUGCGUACAUUUUACUUUGAGAAACAUAGGGUGUUCCACGCAUGUUACGGCAUGAAUAUUCCAGCAUGGGAUAAUCUGGUACGACUUCCAAUCUGCCAUUUUGGUUCGUAGGUUGGAAGUAAUGAUUAAUAGGGACUGUCGGGGGCAUUGGUAUUUGACUGUCAGAGGUGAAAUUCUUAGAUUCGUUGAGGACCAACCACUGCGAAAGCAUUUGUCAAGGAUGUCUCCAUUAA